rnacentral:rRNA from 1 species
CCUACGGGUGGCAGCAGUGGGGAAUAUUGGACAAUGGGCGCAAGCCUGAUCCAGCAAUGCCGCGUGAGUGAUGAAGGCCUUCGGGUUGUAAAGCUCUGUCGGGAGGGACGAAAAAGUCAGGGUAACGCCUGAUAUUGACGGUACCUCCAAAGGAAGCACCGGCUAACUCUGUGCCAGCAGCCGCGGUAAUACAGAGGGUGCAAGCGUUGUUCGGAAUUACUGGGCGUAAAGCGCGUGUAGGCGGCUUCGUUAGUCGGAUGUGAAAGCCCUCGGCUCAACCGAGGAAGUGCAUCCGAUACUGCGAUGCUUGAGUGUUGGAGGGGGUGGCGGAAUUCCCGGUGUAGAGGUGAAAUUCGUAGAUAUCGGGAGGAACACCUGUGGCGAAGGCGGCCACCUGGACAACAACUGACGCUGAGACGCGAAAGCGUGGGUAGCAAACAGGAUUAGAUACCCCAGUAGUC